ACACGACUACAUUAGAUACCCCGGUAGUCCUAGCCGUAAACGAUACUCGCUAGGUGUCGGCCACGGUGCGACCGUUGUCGGUGCCGUAGGGAAGCCGUGAAGCGAGCCACCUGGGAAGUACGGCCGCAAGGCUGAAACUUAAAGGAAUUGGCGGGGGAGCACAACAACGGGUGGAGCUUGCGGUUUAAUUGGAUUCGACGCCGGAAAUCUUACCGGGACCGACAGCAACAUGAAGGCCAAGCUGAAGACUUUGCCGGAUUAGCUG
rnacentral:rRNA from 1 species